GACAAUCUUUGAAGAAUGCACAGAAAAUAUUUUUAGUCCUAAUAAUAAAAUAAGAUUUCAAUGGUAUAAUAUUCAGAUUUGAAUCAUUGAAGUGUGUGUGAAGUAUUUGAAUGUGGAGGGAGUAUUUAGAGACAAUCCCAGCCCUGAUCACAGAGUGUAGCUUGAAGUGUGUGUGAAGUAUCUGAGGAGUAUUUUCAGACUUUAGUCUUUGCAACUUCACAGAUCUUCUUUAUUCACCAAGAGCUUGUAACACUCCAGAGAGAAAAGAAAAAUUAAAAUCGCAUCAUAUGAGCCCUUAAUGGAGACCAGAACCGGUCUGCUUUGGGAACUGGAGAGAUUAAGAAAACACACUUUAUUUAAUAAAAAUUAUCAUUCAUUAUUGCUACUUGAAUGUCGACUUGUGAGUUGUGUCUCGCCAACCGUUUCUUUAUUAAAUAAAGUGUGGUAACAUUUCGAUAGUCAUGAUUUGUUUGUCAGAUUCAGUGACUGCAUCAGAUGCAUUUGUAAGGAGCAAACUGUAGAUCUGUAGAUCUCCAACAUUACUGGGUAAUUACUGUAAACAGUGAUAAGAAUGAAGACCUACAUUUAUCAGAUAAUCAGAAUAUGUUAAACAUAAUAAGCGCUAAACAUCUCAUAAGGAAACAGUUCUUAGUGUUAGCCUAAAACAGCAGCAGCAUUAAUGUUUCAUUUCUUUUCUAUAUAAUCAUUUAGAUGUUCUUGACAGUAUCUAGUUUGUUCAGUUGAUGUUUUCUCUAGCAUUAAGACAUGAAUCAUCUUUUACACAGCGCUCAGCUCCUCUGACGCGGAUAAUUCUGGUUCAGUUUCUAAUGUAAUGUGUGCACGCUCUGCUCCCGCGAGAACAUUUGCUGAACAGAGACCCCUGGUCACAGUUUUCACUGGGUCACCGAUUUCAGCACAACAGGGGUCAAGGGUCAUUCUACAGAAACCUCCAAUUUUGGGAUGACAAGAUGUCUUAAAAUGCAUUUCUUUUUUUUAACAUUUAAACUUAGACCACAUUAUUAUAUAUGUCAACAGUAGUAACAAUAAACUCAAAGUUAUUGGUAUAAUUACUCACAGACAUAAAGAAAUUGUGUGUGCGCUGUGGUCUUAAUGUGGGAAAACAAGCCCUGUGUCUCAAUGUUCAUACUAUCCAUCCUAUAUGUUUAGAAUAAGUGUGUCCCAAAGCAUAGUAUGAUGAAAAGAGUAUGCCCAAAGUCCCCGGAUGGUCUUCUAUUUCAGGUCGAUUUUUAAAGUUCAAACAGUUGAAUGCACUUGUUUUUCCAGUCAUUAAUCAUCUCUAAAUUAAUGCACUGCCUUCACUGAAGCACAAAUAGACAAACAUCAGAUUUCAUUGAUUUGAUGUGUUUUCAAUACUGAUAUCUCUUUGGAUUUUUUAAAGAAUGUUUAAUUAUCAUGUAUCGUGCACUCACAAGCUUGUUUCUGUUUCUCUCUGCAGAUAUGUGAGUUGUUCAUAUCAAGGCAAAGUUAAAAGGGAGGUAAAGUCAGAUCUGCUCUAUCUCAUAAGCGUCUGAGUUCAUCUUCACAAAACAGGUCACAGAAGACUUCUCCGUGGUCUGUUCUUAGCUAUAAAUCAAUGCCAGGGAGGCAGACUUGUGUUAUAUACUACUACAAGUCAGUUUAUUCAUUACAAUUAGUAAGUAAGCAGUACAAAUAUUCUACAAUUACUGUGAAAGUAUUAAAUAAAGUAUAAAUGUGAGUAAGUUGUUUGCUCAAGGCAAUAUCAGCGAUGGUUCUGGAGCAGGAGAGCUCUUCAGGUCUCGAAGCAGUAUCUGAUUUCAUCAUUACUUCAGUCUUUUAUAGACUUCAGGCAACGCUGUGUACAAGUCCUAUUUCAUGGUGCGAUCUAAUCACUUUAAAGUUGAGGCAGUGAAGGACCAUGAGAGCUUGGAAAGUCAUCAGGAGAGCCACUGCAAAACAGUGCAUUUAAUACAAUUCAGAGUGCUUCCAUAGACAAGGACGAAACUUUACGUUUGGGAGUUUAAAAAAAAUAUAUAUAAAAAAUCUCACUGAAAUGUACUGUGUUGUAGGUGCUAACAGUGGCUUCAUUUACAUAAAAAUGUAUUUCAGGGUAGACCGAAAGAAAGGAUUGAAGAUAGGAGAGAAUUACAGAUGACUACCAGGCAAAAGAGUUCAUACACUACAUAGCAGAGGAUGAGAGAAAAAAGAUGAGGGCCAGAUUAUCAGAUGUCAAGUUCAUCUCAGUCAUGUCAGAUGAUCUCUGGACAGUGCAGUGAUGGAAGAAGAAAUGGUCUACGUCACAAGUGCCACUGAGGGCAAGGUCAAAGCUGAUUUAGAUUCAAAGCCAGAUGCUGCAAAUCUAGCUGAAGCAGUGUGUAGUAUAAUGGGAAGUGGAGUCAGCACUCAAUGGAGAAACAAGCAAGUGGCAAUCACCAUAGAUGGAGCAUCUGUAAUGACAGGGGUAAACAACGGUGAAGUUACAAAACUUGGAGGAGCACUGCUAGAUUUAGUGAUGUGAACAGUGGUGUCCUGCAGGAGAUGCGGCUGACCAGUUUCCAGUGCUGGCCAGAGACAGACACCAGUUCAGGUUAGCAAUUCACAUGUAAAGAGCAAAUCUUCAUCAGUCACUUCCGACCUCUUUUACUGUCUGCUGGAGUGAAUGUGGAGUUGAUCCCUGAUCAAUGGACAGUUCUCAAGACUGAACUUCACACAGCAGGAGCCUGCUGCAGGAACCUUUGAGAAGACCUGGUCUACUGUGAACAGAAUACUGCUCCAUCAUGUCCUGAUGUCCCUGAUGUUUCUGAUGCUCUCCUCACAAUCCCUGCAACUACAGCUGACUGUGAAAGAGGGUUCAGUGUUAUGAAGCAGGUAAAGAGUGACUGGGGCUCACACCUAAAAGAUGAGACCCUCUCUGACCUCCUUAAACCCAGUUGUGCUCACCUGACAUCAAAGACUUUGAUCCAAACACAGCCAUUGACAUCUGGCACGCUGACAGUUUGUGCUCACGCAGGCCUGACUUUCUGCACAAACACCAAACAAAAGGAACAGAGGGAGGCUAAGAUUCUGACUACACCUCUGAAGAAGAAGAAGAAGAGCUCUGAAGAAGAAGAAGAAGAGCUCUGAAGACGUGAUUCAGAUGAUAGAUGAAGUGUACUACAGUACUGAAAUAUAAAUAUCUACCACAUGAGUGAUAGCGGGCUGUAGUUUGGACAUCCCUGGUUUAAAGCCUAUUGUGACAUUUGCAGCGAUCACAACAGUAUUGAUUUAUUAAUCUGUGAUGAACUGUGUUUCAUAUAAAACACAAAACCAGAACACUUAAGUUAAACUCAAUUCAUUGCUUCUUUCAA